UCUAGAACUUGAGAUAUGGGUUGAACACUAAACAGUGUCUGGGCUGCAUGUCAGAUUCCAACUUCUAUGUUGUUGCUACAAUUUGAACUUGAAAACGGUCCUUUUGAAUCUUGGACUCUUCAUGAAAGUUUUAGGCCAAUGUCUUAGCUUUCCAUA
rfam:Populus trichocarpa scaffold_14_contig_142, whole genome shotgun sequence.